rnacentral:misc_RNA from 1 species
UUGUAUCGUCAUGAGCGUAUUGUGGGUUUCUUGUGUUGCAUACCUGACUGGUGGUAUCGUUUGGUUGAUCGAAGUCCCUUUUCGUCUUGUGUUGCCUUUGCGAAGCAUGACGAACCUCGAAGCAGUCUCUAUGUUCCACCAUGUUGAUGCUAGUGCUUCGAUGUUGUGGCCCAUUGAGUUUGCUUGGUCUUGUGGAUACAGAACAUGAUUUGGGCAUAGGGUCACUUGUGACUCUUGUUUUGUCCUUUACCAGUGUUCUUUAUAACGACGGUUCAUGCGCGCCUAGGCUCGUACCUGCGUGAUGUUCUUGUCGAAGAGGAAUGCUACCUGGUUGAUCCUGCCAGUAGUCAUAUGCUUGUCUCAAAGAUUAAGCCA